AUUGAACGCUGGCGGCAUGCUUUACACAUGCAAGUCGAACGGCAGCGCGUGCUUCUUCCUGGCGGCGAGUGGCCAACGGGUGAGUAAUUCAUCGGUACGUACCCUGUCUUUGGGCAUGGCUCAACGUAUGCCGACUUAAUCCCGCAUCCCAUCUAAGGUUGAAACCCAGGGUUCUUCGGACCACGCUCUAUUUGCAUCGCCGAUGGCAGAUUCGCCAGUUGGUGGGGUAAUGGCCUACCAAGGCGCCCAUCUGUAGCUGGUCUGAGAUGCCGACCAGCCACACUGGGACUGAGACACGGCCAAGACUCCUACGGGAGGCAGAAGUGGGGAAUUUUGGACAAUGGGCGAAAGCCUGAUCAAGAAAGGCCGCGGGUGUGAGGAAGGCCUUCGGGUUGAAAAGCACGUUUGGAGGGAACGAAAAGGACGGUGCCAAUAACACGGUUAGAUGACGGUACCCGCAGAAUAAGCACCGGCUAACUACGUG
rnacentral:rRNA from 1 species